CCUCCCUCUCUCAGAGGAUGAAGAGGGGAAGGGAGAGAUGAGGGGAAGCUCUGCUCAGCUGUGGGACCACAGAAAGCGGGAUUAGUGAUGACCUCCACCAUGGCCUGGUCCCCUCUCCUCCUCAGUCUCCUCGCUCACUGCACAGGGUCCUGGACCCAGUCUGUGCUGACUCAGCCUCCCUCAGUGUCUGGGACCCUGGGGCAAAGGGUCAUCAUCUCCUGCACUGGAAUCCCCAGCAACAUAAAUUUAGAAGAAUUGGGAAUCGCUACUAAGGUGAACUGGUACCAACAGCUCCCAGGAAAGGCACCCAGUCUCCUCAUCUAUGAUGAUGAUAGCAGAGGUUCUGGGAUUCCUGAUCGAUUCUCUGGCUCCAAGUCUGGCAACUCAGGCACCCUGACCAUCACUGGGCUCCAGGCUGAGGAUGAGGCUGAUUAUUAUUGCCAAUCCUAUGAUGAAAGCCUUGGUGUUCACACAAUGCUCAAGGCCCAUGGGGAAAAUGACUACCUGUCCAUUCCCAUCCAUUACAAGAUGCAGCCACUGAUUUUUCUUGUUUAA